CCCAAAUGCUCAUGGUGAUGUAGGGUUUAACUGUCAACCCUAAUUAAGUCAACUACAUUAUAUUUAAACCUUUCAAAUCCAUCUCAUGGAUUACUCUGGCCAAGAUUUUGCUAAAUUAAAAUACACUGAUGCAUAUCUCCUAUCAAUUCAGAGGGGUCAAUUCCAUCUUGACUCAUACAUCGACUUGAUAAGUACUUGACUGCACCCAGUAUCCUUCCGUCACUAAGUUAGAAACUCAGAU
rnacentral:lncRNA from 1 species